UACGUAGGGUGCAAGCGUUAAUCGGAAUUACUGGGCGUAAAGCGUGCGCAGGCGGUUGUGCAAGACAGAUGUGAAAUCCCCGGGCUUAACCUGGGAACUGCAUCUGUGACUGCAUGGCUGGAGUGCGGCAGAGGGGGAUGGAAUUCCGGGUGUAGUGGUGAAAUGCGUAGAGAUCCGGAGGAACCCCAGAGGCGAAGGCGGCGCCCUGGCUCGACACUGACGCUCAGACACGACAGCAUGGGGAGCGAACGGG
rnacentral:rRNA from 1 species